CCAACCAACCUCUCCCUAGGGCUUUAUAAAUGUGUUAUGGCCUUCUACUUCUUCACUGAACAAACACCAGAGAAAGUAAUAUGAACAGUCAUCAAACCACGCAGAUGUUGAAGCAACUAGAGCCAUGGUGCGAGCUUAAAGACAAAGUGGUUCUUCUGACCGGAGCUUCUUCUGGUAUAGGAAGAGAAGUCUGUCUUGAUCUGGGCAAAGCUGGCUGUAAGAUUAUCGCAGCAGCUCGCCGUGUCGACCGUCUCGAAUCUCUUUGCUCUGAAAUCAACAGCUUAAGUUCAACCGGGAUCCAAUUAGCCGCACCGAUCGAGCUAGACGUUUCAUCAGACGCAGCCACCAUUCAAAAAGCGGUCAAACAAGCUUGGGACAUCUUCGGAAAGAUAGAUGUGUUGAUCAACAACGCUGGAAUCAGAGGCAAUGUCAAGACGAGUUUAGAUCUGACUGAAGACGAGUGGAACACAGUCUUCAGAACCAACUUAACCGGACCUUGGUUAGUAUCCAAAUACGUCUGCAGUCUAAUGCGUGACUCAAAACGCGGCGGCUCGGUGAUAAACGUCUCGUCCAUCUCCGGUCUCCACCGAGGUUUGUUUUUCGGUGGAGUCGCCUAUGCUUGUUCCAAAGGCGGUGUUGACACCAUGACGAGGAUGAUGGCUAUUGAGUUAGGUGUAUACAACAUCAGAGUGAACUCAAUCGCACCGGGGCUUCUUAAGUCAGAGAUCACGCAAGGUCUUAUGCAAAAAGAAUGGCUAAAGAACGUGACCGAUAGGAUUAUACCGUUAAAGGUGCAACAGACCGUGGAUCCGGGAAUUACCUCGCUGGUUCGCUAUCUCAUUCAUGACUCUUCUCGAUAUGUCUCAGGAAAUAUAUACAUUCUUGACUCUGGAACUACAUUACCUGGCCUGCCCAUUUUUUCUUCUCUUUGAGCCUCAAAGCCCGUGUGUUGUAAUAAAAACAAUUAGAGCUUGAUACAUGCACCAAUGCAGAUGUUGUGUUUUACCCUUUUUUAUAAAUUGUUUAAUGACAUUUAUAAAAUAUAUAUGUCAUUUGGAUAAUUUUAGGUUCUAACACAUUAUAACUGAAUUCAUCCUACUCGAAUUCCGCCCAUAAAUUUAUAGUAUUUUUAAACAGAAUCUAAUUUAAAACCAAAAAAUUCUUAUACCUGAAAGAACUGAUUCCUAUCUGAACAAAUACCUAAAUAUACAUGCAUAUCUGAUUCUGUAAACAAAUAAAAAAUUCUUUGUAAAUAUAUUUGAGUUCUUGUCAAUGGAACAACCAAUCAAUCUAUACUAUAUAAAAGUUGAGGCUAUAAGCCAUUGAGGGUGUCCACGUAGGAUGUUAAACGAUCAAUCGUAGUAUGACAAAUCAUUAUUUAAGUUUACUAUUUUGAAAAAUGUUAAUAUUACAAAAAAAAAUCAUUUAUUUCAAACUAAAAUAUAAAUCAAUAUCAAAUAAGGUAAAUCAAUAAAAAUAUAAAUACUAUAUUAAGUUAACAAAAUGUUUAAUUAUUUUUCGAAAAUUAAAAAAAUAAAUAACCAAAAGAAUAAUUAAUAAGUUUGCUAUUUUCGAAAAUGCCAAUAUUUCCUAAAAUCGUUUAUGAUAAAUCAUUUUUAAAAAUAUGUUAAUGUUUGCAAAAAAAUAUUUUAUUAAAAAAAUAAAUAUUAUCUAAUAAAUUAGGCUAAUAAAAUAUAUGAUUUCCAAAUUUAUGAUUUUUUUUGUCAGCUUUUGUUUGGCCAGCUUUCCAAAUUUAUGUAUAUUGACAUAAAAUAGAAGUUUUAAUAUUUAAAGUCGAAAUAUAAUUAUUAGAUUUAAAAUUCAAAAAUUUUAAAAGUCAAAAAAGUAUCCUUAAAUACUAUAUUACCUUUAUAUAUUUUAAAAAUGUCAUGAUUUCAAAAUUUAUGAAUUUUUUUUGGUCAGCUUUUUUUUGGGACAACUUUCAAAUUUAUGUAUAUUUUACAUAAAUAGACAUUUAAAUAUUAAAUGACGAUAUAUAUUUAUUAGGUUUAAAAAUCAAAAUUUAAAAAGUCAAAACAUAUCGUUAAAUAACAUUUUACCUUUACAUAUUUUAAAAAUGUCAUGAUUUCCAAAUUUAUGUAUUUUUUAUCAGCUUUUUUUUGUCAAUUUCCAAAUUUAUGUAUAUUAUCAUAAAAUAUAAGUUUUAAUAAAAGGUAAGUUCACUUAAUACAUAAAAUAAGAAAGUUUCUAAUAUAUGAAGUAUUGGGUGACUAUAAAUAAUCAUCUAAAGUUCUAAAAGUUUUCAAGAUUUUACUUUGAGAAAGAGAUAGAUAUUGAAAAGAGAAUAGAGAUAUGGUCGCUUCAGCUACUUCUUUGGUUUUGGAUGAUCUUAAAAAAGGUUUUAAUAAGAAUGAAGUUCUUGCUAGAGUGGUUCACUUUUGGGAAGCGCGUAACAUCAACAAGGGUGGUUUGCUUAUGGGCUUCGAGUUAUUUCUUAUUGACCAAAAGGUAUAAUUAUUAUUUUAAAAAUUUCAAGAUUUUCAGAAAAAAUGUUUAUUUCAAAAUAAAAAGGAAACUACUAUUCAAUUUCGUGAAAAAGGCAAAAUUAUUAAAGGAAUCAAUUUGGUAUAUAAACUAAAUCUUUGAAA